rnacentral:rRNA from 1 species
GCAAAACUUCUGGUUUGGGCACCACUGGUAACGGUGGCUAAUACCGAAAGUGCCGAAGGGUGAAAGGCUUGCUGCCUGAAGAUGAGCUCGCGUCUGAUUAGCUAGUAGGUGGGGUAAGAGCCUACCUAGGCGACGAUCAGUAGCUGGUCUGAGAGGAUGAUCAGCCACACUGGGACUGAGACACGGCCCAGACUCCUACGGGAGGCAGCAGUGGGGAAUUUUCCGCAAUGGGCGAAAGCCUGACGGAGCAAUACCGCGUGAGGGAGGAAGGCUCUUGGGUUGUAAACCUCUUUUCUCAGGGAAGAAGACGGUGACGGUACCUGAGGAAUCAGCAUCGGCUAACUCCGUGCCAGCAGCCGCGGUAAUACGGAGGAUGCAAGCGUUAUCCGGAAUGAUUGGGCGUAAAGCGUCCGCAGGUGGCUGUGUAAGUCUGCUGUCAAAGAGCGAAGCUCAACUUCGUAAAGGCAGUGGAAACUACACGGCUAGAGUGCGUUCGGGGCAGAGGGAAUUCCUGGUGUAGCGGUGAAAUGCGUAGAGAUCAGGAAGAACACCGGUGGCGAAGGCGCUCUGCUAGGCCGCAACUGACACUGAGGGACGAAAGCUAGGGGAGCGAAUGGGAUUAGAUACCCAAGUAGUCA